rnacentral:lncRNA from 1 species
ACCGCCCCGCGGCCGCUCCCGGGAAAGAACUCCCCGCCGCCUCCUUAACGCGCCUACCUGGAGCCGCACCGGCGGCCGGGAGCAGCUUCCACAUGGGGCCGGCGUCUCAGAACCCCGCGACGUGCGACGCCAACCGCAGCUGCCCAGCCUGCGCGGUCACCGGGCUGCACCGGCGCGGGCUCCGGGACGUGCGCGUUCCCAGGACUCUGACAAGUUCUUCGGAAAGGCGGGAACCGGCCAGAGCGCGCCGCUGACGGGGGCGCCACCUAGUGCUGAAGAUGCAGCAGUGCAGCGCGGAAAGCGUCCUGGCAGGAAUGUGAUGGACCGAACUGGACGCUUUAAUCAAUGAACUGUGAUGUUUAAAAAGCUCGGAAGUAAUGUGGAUUUUAAACUAGAUGUAUCAAAGUGCUGUUGAGUGUAUUAUUUUCUGUAUUUUCAAAAGUUACAUCAUGUGUAGUAUCAGUCAAGAUGAAGAUUUCAUGUCAAAAUAUGUUUAAUCUUUUCCACUGUAUCCUGAGUGUAUUAUACCAGAACCAUGUUUACAUCUUUAUACAAUGUCAGGAUUUACUGAAUAACAAUAAGUCCACAAGCUUUUUGCCAAGUAGUCCCAAUUUCCCUUAAUAGUUGACCACUGGCAAACAGUUUUUUUUUAAAGAUUUAUUUAUUUAUUAUAUGUAAGUACACUGUAGCUGUCUUCAGACACUUAAGAAGAGGACAUAACAGAUGGUUAUGAGCCACCAUGUGGUUGCUGGGAUUUGAACUCAUGACCUCUGGAAGAGCUGUCAGUGCUCUUAACCGCUGAGCCAUCCAUCUCCCCCCACUUUUAAUUAUGUAUUUAUUUUAUGUAUAUGAGUACACUGUAGCUGUCUUCAGCCACACCAGAAGAGGGCAUCGAAUCCCAUUACAGAUGGUUGUGAGCCGCCAUGUGGUUGCUGGGAAUUGAACUCAGGACCUUUAGAAGAGCAGUUAAUGCUCUUCACCACUGAGCCAUUUCUCCAGCACUGACAAAUGGGUUUUUUAAUCCAGUUGUAAUAUUAAUAAAUCAUACAUUAAGGGUGUGUGUCCAUUAAAGAAUGACUUCAACUUCUGGGUGUGGUGAUGCACACCUUUAAUCCCAGCAUUCGGAAGGCAGAGGCAGGUGAGUCUCUGAGUUCAAGGCCACCCUGGUCUACACAGAGAAAUCCUAUC